UAUCAUGCAGUCGAGCGGACAGAUGGGAGCUUGCUCCCUGAUGUUAGCGGCGGACGGGUGAGUAACACGUGGGUAACCUGCCUGUAAGACUGGGAUAACUCCGGGAAACCGGGGCUAAUACCGGAUGGUUGUUUGAACCGCAUGGUUCAAACAUAAAAGGUGGCUUCGGCUACCACUUACAGAUGGACCCGCGGCGCAUUAGCUAGUUGGUGAGGUAAUGGCUCACCAAGGCAACGAUGCGUAGCCGACCUGAGAGGGUGAUCGGCCACACUGGGACUGAGACACGGCCCAGACUCCUACGGGAGGCAGCAGUAGGGAAUCUUCCGCAAUGGACGAAAGUCUGACGGAGCAACGCCGCGUGAGUGAUGAAGGUUUUCGGAUCGUAAAGCUCUGUUGUUAGGGAAGAACAAGUACCGUUCGAAUAGGGCGGUACCUUGACGGUACCUAACCAGAAAGCCACGGCUAACUACGUGCCAGCAGCCGCGGUAAUACGUAGGUGGCAAGCGUUGUCCGGAAUUAUUGGGCGUAAAGGGCUCGCAGGCGGUUUCUUAAGUCUGAUGUGAAAGCCCCCGGCUCAACCGGGGAGGGUCAUUGGAAACUGGGGAACUUGAGUGCAGAAGAGGAGAGUGGAAUUCCACGUGUAGCGGUGAAAUGCGUAGAGAUGUGGAGGAACACCAGUGGCGAAGGCGACUCUCUGGUCUGUAACUGACGCUGAGGAGCGAAAGCGUGGGGAGCGAACACGA
rnacentral:rRNA from 1 species